rnacentral:rRNA from 1 species
AUUGAACGCUGGCGGCAGGCCUAACACAUGCAAGUCGAGCGCGCGGCGGACGGGUGAGUAAUGUAUGGGGACUGCCCGAUAGAGGGGGAUAACUUCUGGAAACGGUAGCUAAUACCGCAUACUAUAGGAUAACCCCUAUGGGAUUAGCUUGUAGGUGAGGUAAUGGCUCACCUAGGCGCCGAUCCCUAGCUGGUCUGAGAGGAUGAUCAGCCACACUGGGACUGAGACACGGCCCAGACUCCUACGGAGGCAGCAGUGGGGAAUAUUGCACAAUGGGCGCAAGCCUGAUGCAGCCAUGCCGCGUGUAUGAAGAAGGCCCUAGGGUUGUAAAGUACUUUCAGUCGGGAGGCGUUACCGACAGAAGAAGCACCGGCUAACUCCGUGCCAGCCGCCGCGGUAAUAC